CCCUUUAUCAGCAUGUUUAUUGUUUGAUCUGCUUAAAUAAAUUGUUUAAUACGAUUUAAAUGUACGACAAUGUGAUACUUUGACCAACAGUGACCAUGGCCAUGACACUCAGGUUUGAUACUGAAGCUAAAGAAACCGCAAGGUGCUAAUUUUCAAGUGUACGAAAAUGACAGAUGGCGCGGAUGUUUGCAUCUAAAUAUUAGAGGUACAUUGGUAUAUAUAUACAUAUAAAGAACAGUAAUAUGUAUUCACCUACCUUACCAUUGCCGUCGCUUACUAUGGUGUUUAUUGGUCAAAUGGCGUAUGAUCAGUUUGGUCUUCUAAUGAAAUUUCGUGACAUGGAACAAGGGUACAAUAAAUGGACAUUCACUGUGGCAAAACAUAACUCUUUUACGAAUAACUCCAUGUUUCAACUAUUAAAAAGACGAUGACUGGUCCUUUUCAUAACUAUUAGUUCCUACGAGAUCAGAGGAACAUAAGGCUAUCUUAAUAUGUACCAAAAAAACACCUAUUGGAAACCAUAAACAAAUGAAUAAACUGUAUAAAACAGACCAUGUAAAAGUAUAUUAUUUAAAAUAUCGUGUAAAGAGACCAGGUUCACAAGGAAAUUAGGAUUGCUAGCAGUUGCACUAUGACAUGUAAGUAUGUGUUAAUAGUGCUUUAUAAGUUAUUCUCUUUCUCGAAUAAAGUGUUGAAAAUGGAGUA